rnacentral:lncRNA from 1 species
AAGGCCUCUAAAUCUGGAUCACCAUUUAAUACACCUGGAUUUAUAUCAUUGACGCAAACUCCUCUCAUUUGGACUCCAUCGCCACCCACAUUUGUUUUACUCCGUGAUUUGCAAAAGCUUUGCGAAUCAGUUCAGAUGAAUCGACUCAAAAGAACCACUGACUCACUAUGGACUGUUCUAAGAACAUUUAGCUACAGUAUCAACAACUGGAGAUACAAAUGUCAUGAUCCAACCCUAAAGGAACGACAGCUGUGAGUGACGGGACACAUGAGACACUUUACUGCUGGAUUACAGAAUGUGUUUGCACCAAAACAGUGACAGUCUGGAUACAGGCACACACCUCAAUUAAUGGUCAUAUUUCACCACACAAAGAAAUUAUUUUUUUGCCAUAAAGAAAAUGAAGACUGUUAGUAGAACCAUCAAGAUUGUUUGCAUUGUGACAUUAUUUUCAUGACAGACCUUUUUUUUGGGGGGGGGGUGAAGCACAUGCAUAUAUAAAUAAUGUGUACUAUUAUAAAUAAUAUAUCAAUUAAAUAUAAAUCUUAGAUGAAAACCUUAACCUUAACCUAACCUAUACAAAUUAAACUAAAAUUAGAAAUGCUGUCUUGGCAAAUAUCUAAAAUAAAACAAGCUUAAGCUGAACUACUAAAAUUACUACAAC